rnacentral:rRNA from 1 species
UACGGAGGAUGCGAGCGUUAUCCGGAUUUAUUGGGUUUAAAGGGUGCGUAGGCGGCUUUUUAAGUCAGCGGUGAAAUUUUGCAGCUUAACUGUAACAGCGCCGUUGAUACUGGGGAGCUAGGAUUUGGUUGUAGUGUGCGUAAUGUGUGGUGUAGCGGUGAAAUGCUUAGAUAUCACACAGAACACCGAUUGCGAAGGCAGCACACUAAGUCAUUAUUGACGCUGAGGCACGAAAGUGUGGGGAUCAAACAGGAUUAGA